GAAUCUUUUUCUGGGGAUCCCUCCUUGAUGCAGCUUUCCCUUGUGAUCCUGAAAUCUUCUGAUACAGGUUCUUUAAAAGAGGAGACAGUAACAGUGAAGCAUCCUACUGUUAACUGCUUGGGAGCAGUUCAAUAAAUCUGUUUUUAUAAACAAAACAUCUGUCUGGAGAAAGGUGGAAAAGUUGCUUGAAAACAUCCGUACUUCAUCCUUUUAAAGAAUGCAGUGGGAAUCUUUUGUAAUAUUUAUGUAAGCAGCAGCUGUGGGAGUGGAUCAAUAAGACUACAAAUUUGCUACACAAGUCUGUGGUUUGCCACUAACUUAAGACAACUUAAUCUUGCUCUGUAUUUCAUGGCUGUUACAAGGGGUGGUAUCUUUCUUUCUUUUUGUGUGCUUACUGUUCAUGCUUAAACAGUUUUUAUAAUGGGAAACCUUGAAGGUUCUUAAAUAUUUCCUUGAGAAUUGCACAGGAGUGUAAAAAUUUUUACUUCCAUCUAUUCAUUUUUUUUUUACUUAGAAAGAAAAAUCUUGUUCUCCUCCACCCCCACCUCUAACAGCUGAAGUGUUUGUUCUGUAAAUCAUCCUGGUGAGCAUUACUCCCAGAACCUCCUUGCAUGAAGUAACUCUAAGAAAACCUAUGUUAGUGGCAGCAGUUUUUAAAAAGUGUGGAGGAUUGCGGAAGUCUACUUUUCCGGAGUUUUGACCAUGUAUUUCUCUACUAGUACAUUGGAACUGGAUGGCAAGAUUAACAGACAAUUUUUUCCUCAGUUAGAUCUAUAAGUUUAUUAAAUUAAACUGCAUACGCUUGUAUGUAAUUUAGUAUUUCAGAAUUCAUGUCAUCCAAACUGGUGUAAAUGGAUAAUUUGUGAAUGAUGUAGCUGACAAAUGUAACUGCACAUAACUUUGGGGGAAAGUAAUAUCUUUGCUACUCCAGAAAUUACCUUUAAACAUGUUGCAUAUAUAGAAACAACUCUGAAAUGAUGCUAUUAGAUAUGACUGUGCUGGUUCUUUCAAGCCAUUGAGACCAGUGGUACACAGUUUCAGCAUGCUCAACUCUUGAAAUUUGCCUCUGCCUCAUCUACUGGUGUUAAUCACCAUAAAUUCCCAUUUACUACCUCGUCCAUUGCCUGACCUGCAGUAUUGUGAUCCAUGUGAAAACUGCAUCACUAUUACUUCUUGUGCUGUUCUUAUGGCGUGAUCAUCGUUACCCUGGCCUCCUUGCAUCAGAAAUCUCCUUUUUUCUGUUCAUGACCGCUCCCACUACAGUGUUUAUUGAGAAAUCAUGCUUAUUUGAUCUGAUUGGAAAGCAUCAAUAUCCAUAGAAAUGCUUAUCAGAAUAGCCUUUUAAACAUAGACAUGCUGACACUGCUGUUUGGGAGAGCGAGUUUCUACCUCUAAAAAAAAAAUUACUGAACAGUGAAUCU
rnacentral:lncRNA from 1 species